UCCUCCAUGGCGCAAUUGGCAGCGCGUUCGAUUGUUAUCAGCGAUGGCAAAUCGGAAGGUUGACAGUUCGAGCCUGUACGGGGGAG